rfam:Streptomyces bungoensis strain DSM 41781 genomic scaffold PRJNA299233_s031, whole genome shotgun sequence.
CUUGAGGGCGCCGAGCAGCAGCGGCCGGUCCGCGGGCCGGUCCUGCCCGUACGUCGCCAUGAGGGCCUGCGCCUC